GCUCCGGUAGCACAAUUGGUUAGUGCGUUGGACUUUUAAGGCACGCUUAGACGAGCCAUCCAAAGGUUGCGGGUUCGACCCCGCCUGGAGCG